GAUGAAGAACGCAGCGAAAUGCGAUAAGUAAUGCGAAUUGCAGAAUCCGUGAGUCAUCGAAUCUUUGAACGCACAUUGCACCUCUCGGUAUUCCGGGAGGUAUGCCUGUUCGAGCGUCAUUUGUACCCUCAAGCUCUGCUUGGUGUUGGGUGUUUGUUCCGCCUCUGUGUGUGAACUCGCCUCAAAACAAUUGGCAGCCGGCGUACUUGUUUCGGAGCGCAGCACAUUUUGCGAUCCAGAUCAACGUACAGCGGCAUCCAAGAAGCCUUAUUUAACGCUCUUGACCUCAGAUCAGGUAGGGAUACCCGCUGAACUUAAGCAUAUCAAUAAGCGGAGGA
rnacentral:misc_RNA from 1 species